GGCCUUGACAUCCACGGAACUUUCCAGAGAUGGAUUGGUGCCUUUGGGAACCGUGAAACAGGUGCUCCAUGGCUGUAGUCAGCUCGUGUCGUGAGAUGUUGGGUUAAGUCCCGCAACGAGGGCAACCCUUCUCCUUUGUUCCCAACACGUUAUGGUGGGAAAUUUAAGGAGGACUCCGGGUGCAAACCGGGGGAAAGGGGGGAAGGAGGUAAAUUCUUCAUGGCCUUUAUACCAGGGGUUCCCCCGUUCUUCCAAGGUGGGGACAGAGGGGUGCAAAACCCGCGAGGUGAACCCAAUCCAGAAAACCCAUCCCAAUUCCGGAUGGCAUUUGCCAAUUGGCUCCCUGUAAAUUGGGAAUCGCUUGGAAAUG
rnacentral:rRNA from 1 species